rnacentral:rRNA from 1 species
GGCCAGACUCCUACGGGAGGCAGCAGUGGGGAAUAUUGCACAAUGGGGGAAACCCUGAUGCAGCGACGCCGCGUGAGCGAUGAAGUAUUUCGGUAUGUAAAGCUCUAUCAGCAGGAACGAGACAAGACGGUACCUGACUAAGAAGCCCCGGCUAACUACGUGCCAGCAGCCGCGGUAAUACGUAGGGGGCAAGCGUUAUCCGGAAUCACUGGGUGUAAAGGGAGCGUAGACGGCUGUGCAAGCCUGAAGUGAAAGGCGGGGGCCCAACCCCCGGACUGCUUUGGGAACUGUACGGCUGGAGUGCAGGAGAGGUAAGUGGAAUUCCUAGUGUAGCGGUGAAAUGCGUAGAUAUUAGGAGGAACACCAGUGGCGAAGGCGGCUUACUGGACUGUAACUGACGUUGAGGCUCGAAAGCGUGGGGAGCAAACAGGAUUAGAUACCCCUGUAC